rnacentral:piRNA from 1 species
UGAGAGAGAUCCUCACACGUGAGCAUUU